rnacentral:rRNA from 1 species
AGCAGCCGCGGUAAUUCCAGCUCCAAUAGCGCAUAUUAAAGUUGUUGCAGUUAAAAAGCUCGUAGUUGAAUUUCGGGGUCAGUAGAUUGGUCGUGCCACUGGUAUGUACUGGUCUUACUGGCUCCUCCUUCCUGAUGAACCGUAAUGCCAUUAAUUUGGUGUUGCGGGGAGACUGGACUGUUACUUUGAAAAAAUUAGAGUGUUUAAAGCAGGCUAACGCUUGAAUACAUUAGCAUGGAAUAAUGAAAUAGGACGUUCGAUCUUAUUUUGUUGGUUUCUAGGAUUGACGUAAUGAUUAAUAGGGAUAGUUGGGGGCAUUAGUAUUCAAUUGUCAGAGGUGAAAUUCUUGGAUUUAG